rnacentral:lncRNA from 1 species
UCCCCUGCUCGGGGUUGUGAGCUGACCCCCUCCCCAGGAAGCGAGCUGCGGGCCCCUCCUCCAGGCGCCCACCUCCGCCGCGGGCUGAGCGUCCUGCUGACCCCAGGCAGGAGGGGAAGACUCGUCCUGCAGGCGGGAGCCCGCGGGCCCUGCACAGCGGGCGUUCCCGGCAGAGCCUGUACUUGGGCUCUCAGGGCGAUCUCUGUCGUGAGCCUCUGCAUUCCGGGUGACGUGUAAACACGUGGGUUCGGGUUUCUCGCUGACCCUGCAGAGAAGCCCGGUCAGGCGCAGGGGGCCCCAGAGAAGCAAAGGCCGUCUUCAGCGAGCCCCACUUCCCCUUCAGCCUCCUCACAUUAGAGAGCCCAUCCUCGGGUCCACCUUCCCUCUGAGAGCUGAGGAAGCAAGAGACGUUCAGAUGUAAAGAUCAGUUUUGCUUCUGCACCCAUCAAGACAAGGCUGAGGCCUUGAACCGCAUGGAGCUUCGGGGGUGGUUUCUGCUUGUUUUUCUCCAGGGUCGGGUUAGCCAGGUGCAGGCUCCGCCGUGUGCCCAGCGCUGCCCUGGGCCCCGGGGGGCAGAACGAGGAGCCAGGCAGGACAGGCCUCUCCCUGCGGAAGAGGGUACCUUGCCAAGAGAAGAGAAAGGAAACGAGUCCUUGGUCCUUCCUGCCCUGUUCCCAGGAAGUGGCUGGUGCCAGGGCCACGUGAGUCUGUCUGGGGUGGGUCCCGAGGGCCAGCAGCGUCCUCCCCACUGUGACCCCCGCCCCCCACCACCCUGACCCCCAGCCUUCAUCCUCCUUAGGUGUCCGUCCUGCCUGCCCCGUCCUCCCCUGAGACGCGAGUGAGGACCCAGGGCAGCACAGGGAGCCGGAGCCCCGGGCGCCACAUCCACACAGGACUGUCCCGGCGCGGGGGAGGCCUUGGGGUGUCCGGCUCCCGAUGCAGCCUGGCCACUCUUCCUGGACAGAACCGGCUUUGGUGGGCCAAGUGGACACUAACCCUGGUGGCCCCGGCCUUGACUUCUGAUCGUGUCCCCGGACAGGGGUCAGGGACUCAAACACGUCCCUCACUGUCUGCCGAUCACCACCCCACUCCUCCUGCCCCUGACCUUAUCGCUGUAGCCAAGGCCUGUAAAUGGUGGGCUGGGCUUGACCUUGCCUCGCCUGACUCCAAGGUCCAUGUUCCUGGCCUACUGGGAGACCCGUCAGCCCCUCUGUGCCUUUAAAUGUAGGUCCAAGCAGCACAGGUCCGAUGUGGCCUGUUUCACUGUCUUCCCAUCCCCAGAAACAGCAUUAAGGGCUGCUUCCCUCUUGCUGCUGCUUCUCACACACCAUGUGUUAUUUUGGGUGUGGUAGAAUAACUACAUAAAGUUUGCCAUCUUGGCCUUUUCCCGAGAGCUUAAGUCUGUGGCAUUAAAUGCAUUCAGGUGGUGCAGCCGUCACCCCCAUCCUCCGCGGAAGUCUUCCUCUUCCCAGACUGAACCUCGGUCCCCAUGAGACACCCUCCCGCAGCCCC